AGCGAACGCUGGCGGCAGGCCUAACACAUGCAAGUCGAACGUAGUCUUCGGACUUAGUGGCGGACGGGUGAGUAACACGUGGGAACGUACCUUUUGGUUCGGAACAACUCAGGGAAACUUGAGCUAAUACCGGAUGAGCCCUUAGGGGGAAAGAUUUAUCGCCGAAAGAGCGGCCCGCGUUAGAUUAGCUAGUUGGUGAGGUAAAGGCUCACCAAGGCUACGAUCUAUAGCUGGUCUGAGAGGAUGAUCAGCCACACUGGGACUGAGACACGGCCCAGACUCCUACGGGAGGCAGCAGUGGGGAAUCUUGCGCAAUGGGCGAAAGCCUGACGCAGCCAUGCCGCGUGAAUGAUGAAGGUCUUAGGAUUGUAAAAUUCUUUUACCAGGGACGAUAAUGACGGUACCUGGAGAAAAAGCCCCGGCUAACUUCGUGCCAGCCGCCGCGGUAACAC
rnacentral:rRNA from 1 species